rnacentral:rRNA from 1 species
AUUGAACGCUGGCGGCAGGCUUAACACAUGCAAGUCGAGCGGAGAUGAGGUGCUUGCACCUUAUCUUAGCGGCGGACGGGUGAGUAAUGCUUAGGAAUCUGCCUAUUAGUGGGAGACAACAUUCCGAAAGGAAUGCUAAUACCGCAUACGUCCUACGGGAGAAAGCGGGGGAUCUUCGGACCUUGCGCUAAUAGAUGAGCCUAAGUCGGAUUAGCUAGUUGGUGGGGUAAAGGCCUACCAAGGCGACGAUCUGUAGCGGGUCUGAGAGGAUGAUCCGACACACUGGGACUGAGACACGGCCCAGACUCCUACGGGAGGCAGCAGUGGGGAGUAUUGGACAAUGGGGGGAACCCUGAUCCAGCCAUGCCGCGUGUGUGAAGAAGGCCUUAUGGUUGUAAAGCACUUUAAGCGAGGAGGAGGCUACUGAGACUAAUACUCUUGGAUAGUGGACGUUACUCGCAGAAUAAGCACCGGCUAACUCUGUGCCAGCCGCCGCAGUAACAC